CUUGCAAUGAUGUUAAUAGAACAUGACAAGAGUUUUAAGAGUGCAGAAUUAACCUGUGCAAG
rnacentral:sRNA from 1 species